UACGUAGGGUGCGAGCGUUGUCCGGAAUUAUUGGGCGUAAAGAGCUCGUAGGCGGUUCGUCGCGUCGGCUGUGAAAACCCGGAGCUCAACUCCGGGCCUGCAGUCGAUACGGGCGGACUUGAGUUCGGCAGGGGAGACUGGAAUUCCUGGUGUAGCGGUGAAAUGCGCAGAUAUCAGGAGGAACACCGGUGGCGAAGGCGGGUCUCUGGGCCGAUACUGACGCUGAGGAGCGAAAGCGUGGGGAGCGAACAGG
rnacentral:rRNA from 1 species